rnacentral:rRNA from 1 species
UACGGGGGGGGGCAAGCGUUGUUCGGAAUUACUGGGCGUAAAGGGCUCGUAGGCGGCCAACUAAGUCAGACGUGAAAUCCCUCGGCUUAACCGGGGAACUGCGUCUGAUACUGGAUGGCUUGAGUUUGGGAGAGGGAUGCGGGAUUCCAGGUGUAGCGGUGAAAUGCGUAGAUAUCUGGAGGAACACCGGUGGCGAAGGCGGCAUCCUGGACCAACACUGACGCUGAGGAGCGAAAGCCAGGGGAGCAAACGGGG